UACGUAGGGUGCAAGCGUUGUCCGGAAUUAUUGGGCGUAAAGAGCUCGUAGGCGGUCUGUCGCGUCUGCUGUGAAAACUCAGGGCUUAACCCUGAGCUUGCAGUGGGUACGGGCAGACUAGAGUGCGGUAGGGGGAGACUGGAAUUCCUGGUGUAGCGGUGAAAUGCGCAGAUAUCAGGAGGAACACCGGUGGCGAAGGCGGAUCUCUGGGCCAUUACUGACGCUGAGGAGCGAAAGCGUGGGGGAGCGAACAGG
rnacentral:rRNA from 1 species